rnacentral:tRNA from 1 species
GCCCCGUUGGUCUAGUCAGGCCCAGGACGCCGCCCUCUCAAGGCGGAGAUCGCCGGUUCGAAUCCGGCACGGGGUA